GAAAUAUCAAAAGAUUUAGAUCAGCC
rnacentral:sRNA from 1 species